rnacentral:rRNA from 1 species
AACGAACGCUGGCGGCAGGCCUAACACAUGCAAGUCGAGCGCCCCGCAAGGGGAGCGGCGGACGGGUGAGUAACGCGUGGGAAUUUUCCUCAAGGUACGGAACAACUCAGGGAAACUUGGGCUAAUACCGUACGAUGUCUAGCGACCAAAGAUUUAUCGCCUUGGGAUAAGCCCGCGUCAGAUUAGGUAGUUGGUGGGGUAACGGCCUACCAAGCCUGCGAUCUGUAGCUGGUCUGAGAGGACGAUCAGCCACAUUGGGACUGAGACACGGCCCAAACUCCUACGGGAGGCAGCAGUGGGGAAUCUUGCGCAAUGGGCGAAAGCUUGACGCAGCCAUGCCGCGUGAAUGAUGAAGGUCUUAGGAUUGUAAAGUUCUUUCGCUCGUGACGAUGAUGACGGUAACGAGAGAAGAAGCCCCGGCUAACUUCGUGCCAGCAGCCGCGGUAA